rnacentral:rRNA from 1 species
AUGAAACUAAAGGAAUCCGAACUUGAUGAGGUGGUAGUUGGAGAUGAGGAAAUCUCCAAAUUUGCUGAAGAAACACGCUGGCUCGCGGUUGCCAGGGUGAAUACGGCGAAGCCCUUCAGUGCAGAAUCGUUCAGAACGACGAUGAAAUUCAUCUAGAGGCUAGCAUAUGAGCCCGAAAUCCGUGAGGCUGACGACAACCUGUUCAUCAUCCAGAUGUUGUGUGUUGGAGACUGGAACAGAGUCAUGCAUCAAGGCCCUGGGAUCUUCAGGGGUCUGAUGGUUAUCAUUGAGGAAUAUGAUGGCAAGGGCAAACCACAAGCGGUCGCUCUCGACCGUGUGUGCGUGUGGGCACAGAUCCAUGACACCCCGGAGUUGUACCGAAAGGAGAUGGUCUUGGAUCAGCUAGCGCGCCGGAUCGGCCAAGUCAAGAGUGUGGAGAUGAAUCCCUCUAGUGUUUUUGAGGGAAAUUAUGUACGGGUCCGUGCAAAGAUCAAGGUGGCUGAUCCUCUGGUGUGUUUUACACACUAA